rnacentral:rRNA from 1 species
ACGCGAGCUGGGUUCAGAACGUCGUGAGACAGUUCGGUCACUAUCCGUCGCAGGCGGAGGGAAAUUGAGAAGGCCUGUCCUAAGUACGGGAGGACAGGGGUGGACAUACCUGUGGUGUACAAUUUUUCCUGCCAAGAGCAUGGCUGUGUUGCUAUGUACGCUAUGGAUAAGCGCUGAAAGCAUCUAAGCGCGAAGCCAACUUCAAGAUAAGAUUUCCCACCGCAAGGGUAAGACCCCAGAAAGACUAUCUGGUUGAUAGGUCGAAGGUGUAAGU